UGUCUAGGGGUUCAAACCUAAAGAACCCAAAUAUCUAAACGAAGAGAUUCAAUACUCUCCGCCCCUCAAAAAGGGUGGAGAGUGUGCACUUCUCUUUUAGUAAGACGUUGUGAUCCAUUAGAAAUUGAUUAUCCCAUAUGGUUUGAUAAUCAUUGGGCUACCAAUAGACUGAUAUUGAAGUUCACAAUGACAAAUAAUAAAAUCAUUCAUAACGAUUCUAUAUAUUGUCUUGUGAGCAUGUCAUGUACUGGUGUAGCUGUCUGAUGGAUUUUAAAGGUCAUAAUAUUAAUAUCCUUUGUGGUAUUACGGCGCAAGCAAUUGUGGCGUUUAAAUUAUGUGCCCGAUCAACAACGGUUACAUUUGGGAUACCUUUGGGACCCGUCUUGAAACACGGACCAAGGAGUCUAUCUAGUAUGCAAGUAAAUGGGCCUUAUUAAAAACCUAUUUGCGUAAAUAACUUGACUGUUGUAUACAAUGGGAUUACGAGUAUUGUUUUAAUAAUGCUCCUCCAUCCCGGGGUAUUUUCACAACAUAUAUGGGCAACUAUAUAUAGAAAAUAUACCAUGAGCAUACUGGAUAUGACCCGAAAGAUGGUGAACUAUGCCUGAUCAGGUUGAAGUCAGGGGAAACCCUGAUGGAGGACCGAAGCAAUUCUGACGUGCAAAUCGAUUGUCAGAAUUGGGCAUAGGGGCGAAAGACCAAUCGAACCAUC
rnacentral:rRNA from 1 species